CCUACGGGUGGCUGCAGUGGGGAAUAUUGGACAAUGGGGGCAACCCUGAUCCAGCCAUGCCGCGUGUGUGAAGAAGGCCCUCGGGUUGUAAAGCACUUUCAGUGAGGAAGAACGCCUGGUGGUUAAUACCCAUCAGGAAAGACAUCACUCACAGAAGAAGCACCGGCUAACUCCGUGCCAGCAGCCGCGGUAAUACGGAGGGUGCGAGCGUUAAUCGGAAUUACUGGGCGUAAAGCGCGCGUAGGUGGCUUGAUAAGCCGGUUGUGAAAGCCCCGGGCUCAACCUGGGAACGGCAUCCGGAACUGUCAAGCUAGAGUGCAGGAGAGGAAGGUAGAAUUCCCGGUGUAGCGGUGAAAUGCGUAGAGAUCGGGAGGAAUACCAGUGGCGAAGGCGGCCUUCUGGACUGACACUGACACUGAGGUGCGAAAGCGUGGGUAGCAAACAGGAUUAGAUACCCCGGGUAGUC
rnacentral:rRNA from 1 species